AUUUUUCGUUCACCAACCAAAUAUAAGAAAACAAGUAAGAAAUCAACUUGUUUUUCAGGAAAAUAUUUUCCAUGAAAAACAUUUUCCUUCAUAACAAACACACCCUUAAUGUAAAUGAAAAACAAAUGAUCUCCAUGUAGAAUCUAACAUACAUAUAUAAUAUUGAGAUAAUACAUUGAAACACCCUUGAACUUGUGGUUAAAACUUACUUUAGAUUCUAAAUUAAUCGGACAAAUAUUUACCCCCUUAACAACUUUAAAGUGAAUUAAUUUCCCCCUCUAUGACUGAUGUAACAAAAAAAAGAAAAAAGCGAGUGAGUUUUUUUUUUUAAUAAAAAGGGCCCACUUUUUUUUUUUAUAUAUAUAUAUAACCAUCUUCUUCAUCUUUUCCAAAUCCCCUCCCCUAUUUCCAUCACCCCCACCCCACCCCACAACACCGUUUCUUUCUCUAUUUUUUUCGUAACCCGCCACCCCCACUCACCCCGUUUCUUCAUAUGAGGCGAAGCCAUGGAAAAUUUCUUAAAAGACUGUUCCAUGUUAUUACCAAGAUCUACAUCUGAAGAUGUACCAAGAGCCUCUUAUUGUGAAGAACAGAGCAGAUGGAGCAUUUGAAUAAUCAACAGAGAUAAUUUAGAACAGUACUGUUUGCUUGGGUACAUUGACUAUAGCUCUUCAAAUUGUCUGUUAAUAUUCUCUAAGAUUGUUUCUUGCCUAGUGUAUAUUGGAUAUGGACUCUAUGGUUUGCUUUUUCAUUUCCGGCUAAGCUAUAAAUUAUAAUGCUGACAGCUUCGUCUGUCUUUUUUUUUUUUUUUUUUUUUUUCUCUUGCAGAGGAAACUAUAUCUAUUAAUUUAUAUUAAGGACAUGAUCUGUCCAAAUAAACUUAAUACUUAUAUCAUUUACAAUCCUUUUUGUGAGCAUCAUUUCCCAACAGAUUUUCCUUGAGAUCGAAAACACAUUCUAAAUGUCUUCAUAAUUACAACCAAAAUUCCAAUUAACUUUCACAUUUUCCUCCAGCAUUUCUACUGUACUUUUUAGCAUCAAAGAAGAUACGUAUAUCCUUCCUGCGAUUGUAA